GUCAGGAUGGCCGAGCGGUCUAAGGCGCUGCAUUCAAGCCGCAGUCUCCUCUGGAGGCGUGGGUUCGAAUCCCACUCCUGGCA
rnacentral:tRNA from 1 species